rnacentral:rRNA from 1 species
UACGUAGGGUGCAAGCGUUAAUCGGAAUUACUGGGCGUAAAGCGUGCGCAGGCGGUCCGCAAAGUCUGAUGUGAAAGCCCCGGGCUCAACCUGGGAACUGCAUUGGAAACUAACGGGCUCGAGUGUGGCAGAGGGGGGUGGAAUUCCACGUGUAGCAGUGAAAUGCGUAGAGAUGUGGAGGAACACCGAUGGCGAAGGCAGCCCCCUGGGCUAACACUGACGCUCAGGCACGAAAGCGUGGGGAUCAAACAGG